GACAUCAGAUCAGACGUGGCAACCCGCUGAAUUUAAGCGUAUUAGUGAGCGGAGGAAAAGGGACUAACCAGGAUUCCCUCAGUAACGGUGAGUGAAGAGGGAAGAGCCCAGCGCCGAAUCCCCGCCCUGGGGUGGGGUGUGGGAAAUGUUGUGUAUGGAAGGCCCAGUCCCUGGCACUGCUCGUCGGUGGCCCAAGUCCUGGUCUAGGCCAAGACUGUGGAUGGUGUGAGGCUGGUAGCGGCCCCUGGCGUGCUGGGCCUGGGUCUUCCCGGAGUCGGGUUGCUUGGGAAUGCAGCC
rnacentral:rRNA from 1 species